rnacentral:rRNA from 1 species
UACAGAGACUGCGAGCGUUAUUCGGAUUCACUGGGCGUAAAGGGUGCGCAGGCGGCCAGGUGUGUGAGGCGUGAAAGCCCGGGGCUUAACCCCGGAAUUGCACCUCAAACUACAUGGCUAGAGCAUUGGAGAGGGUAGCAGAAUUCACGGUGUAGCAGUGAAAAAUGCGUAGAUAUCGUGAGGAAUACCAGAGGCGAAGGCGGCUACCUGGACAAUUGCUGACGCUCAGG